AUUUCAUGAUGUUGGGUGUCACGCACGCAUAUAUGUUUACGUUUUAUUUAUAGUCUUAUGUAUGUCACGGGGUGUGUAUGUGAGUACACAAGAGGGUGAAAGACAGAGCGUUCAGGUGAGAACGAACGUGGAAUUGGUAUGGUCCACUUGUCGGGUAGUUUUAUACCCUUUUUCCACCAGGAAUGUAUGCAUGUGGGAAGCCUAGACAGCAGACUGGGCUUCUCAUGAUGGGCAGGCAACGAGAACGGCUUCUGUAAGCCGGCAAGAAAAGACACGACACCUCAUCUUAGUAAAGGCAGCACCAGGACCGACCAAACAGAUUAUCGAGUCUUCAGGGUCAAGGUCAGCUGUGUAAAGACGGCAGUCUACAGGCAGGCAUGAAGAGUACGCCAGUUGUCAUUGG